CAACUCCAUACAUCCGUAAUCCUGUAUACAUAUAUACAUCUCCAGACUAUUUGAAUUCCAAUUGGUAAUCUGUUAUUUCAGGAAACAAACGUUGGAGAUGAUAUCUCAAAUCCCUAAACUUUUAAAAAAAUAGGGUUUUAAAUAAGGUGGAUCUAAUAUAUAUAUAGUCCGCAUCCAGAGUUUUUCUAUAUCCACUGUCAAUCGCUACUUUGGAUCCUUUAUUCCAGAGAAAGCAAAUGUAGUUAGCCUUGAGAAUCAGAUUAAACAAGUUCGUCUUUAUAAGAAAUUGCUCGAGGAUUGCUAUAAUAACCGCCGAACAUCUUAUAUCCAUCAUUGGCAUGUAGUUAAUGGCAGUGUGGCUUCCAUUCUUUUCGCUAACCUAACUCGUGCAGUUGAUGUUCGGGCUGCUGGUGCUUUUGUGCUUGGCUGAGCCAAGACUGUCGCUACCAACGGAAUCGCUAUGGCUAUCAAUGGAAUUCCAGUGAUAAUUGAUAAGGUCUACAAAGUUCUAAAUGUCGCAGCGGCAAUCAAACAUAUUGUUAAUGGAUAUGUUGGAAGAUAUUAACGACUCGCAACUCUGAUAUAAGGAAGGGAAUCAUGAAAGGAAUGAGGAAUGGGGAUCUGGUGGAUCACAAUCUUCAAGGAGACCUCAAAAGGUUUUCCUCGAGUGCUUUAGCUGGAGCUAGACAAGCCUUAAUUAGCGGAACACCAUCUUGAUCAGUCUAGAAGACUGGUUUCUAAUGUUGCUUUCUAUUUAGUUAGUAGGCAGUGUUUUGUGUCAUGAAAUAGGAAAUGGAGUUUUCUUGCCGCUGUUUUAGAAUGCAAGUUUUGUGCUUUGGGGUCUAAUGGCUUAGUGUGUUUUAUUCAGUGGACCUGGUAGGUGACCAAGGUUUGUUUUUGUGUUAUCCCUACCAUAUAUCAGUUUACAUGGAUAAUAUAAUAGCAUAUGGGGGUUUAGUUUGUGAUUUUAGAGACAAAUUGGCCUCUUUUACCCUUCACCUUAAAGAAAUUGGGGUAGAUUUUAUGUUCACCACAUAUGUUUAAUCUAAAACGAGUAUACAUUUAGGUGUACAUGUUUGGUGACGAAUAAUAAAUUAGUAUGCACUUUUUUUGGACUUCUCGCUCUGGUGUGGUAGUUUUUUUUUAUUUUUUAUUAUUAUUAUUUUUUUUUGUGAUGUACUGAUUCAUGCUCAAUUUGAUAACUUAUUAUAUGCAAAGAUGUAUUUUUUUUCUCUCAUACAAAUCAUUGUCUAAUAUCAGAUGCAUGGUGGAUCCUCAUGGGUUGGCAACUGUGAUUUAACAUUGGAGAAACCUAUUGCCGUUAUAUGGGAAUUAAGAAGGUUACCCUAAAGUGUUAAUGUUAUGGUGUACAUAUUUGAUAUUUUGAUGGCACAAACAGUUGAACAUACUCGAGAAUUGUAUACUGGUAGAGGGUUGCAUUUAGCACAAGACGCUCCCAUAAGAAUAUAUAUAUGAGUAUAUCUAUAAAACGUAUUGGUAAGCAAGAUAAACUAUGUAUCAACUAUAUUACCUUUUCAACUUUGAUAGACGCGUUCCUUGUAACUUUGACUUCUAAAACAUGAAUUUGAUAGUAAAAAUGAUGUGGCUGGGACUGAACA